GACACCACAGGUAUAAAACAUGUAGGACACCACAGGUCUAAAACAUGUAGGACACCACAGGUCUAAAACAUGUAGGACACCACAGGUAUAAAACAUGUAGGACACCACAGGUCUAAAACAUGAGGGACACCACAGGUCUAAAACAUGUAGGACACCACAGGUCUAAAACAUGAGGGACACCACAGGUCUAAAACAUGUAGGACACCACAGGUCUAAAACAUGUAGGACACCACAGGUCUAAAACAUGUAGGACACCACAGGUCUAAAACAUGAGGGACACCACAGGUCUAAAACAUGUAGGACACCACAGGUCUAAAACAUGUAGGACACCACAGGUCUAAAACAUGUAGGACACCACAGGUCUAAAACAUGAGGGACACCACAGGUCUAAAACAUGUAGGACACCACAGGUCUAAAACAUGUAGGACACCACAGGU